UACGUAGGGUGCGAGCGUUGUCCGGAAUUAUUGGGCGUAAAGGGCUCGUAGGCGGUUUGUCGCGUCGGGAGUGAAAACCUUGGGCUUAACUCAGGGCUUGCUUUCGAUACGGGCAGACUAGAGGUAUGCAGGGGAGAACGGAAUUCCUGGUGUAGCGGUGAAAUGCGUAGAUAUCUGGAGGAACACCGGUGGCGAAGGCGGCAUCCUGGACCGGUAUUGACGCUGAGGCGCGAAAGCCAGGGGAGCAAACGGG
rnacentral:rRNA from 1 species